rnacentral:lncRNA from 1 species
GGCGGAGCCUACGGAGUUCACGGUGCAAGGCAUCGUCCGUCACUGGACCACUCCCAGCCAACCUUCACCUCGUUCCAUCAGCGAGUUGAGAAGGGAUGCGUUGGAGAAGAAGAACAAGUAGCCAAAAGUCUGAGACACGAGGUCAGGGUGCAGCUCGCACUGGCUGGUCAGCUCCAAGGCUGCCUGGAACACGCCCAGGGUCCAGUGGAUUUGUGCUUCCUCGCCUCCAAGAAUGAACUCGCUCACUGCUAUCCAAGCUCCAAGCCCAAUGGGCUGCGGUGAAUUCUCACACUGAUCUCUGUCAACUUCUCAUCCAGUGGGAUCUCUCCCCCACCAUCUCCCAUAAUGGUUUCUUCCUAAGAGGAUUUCAAAGAGAUAAUCCCCCUUCCAUCAAUGGAUGUUCUCAAUAUUCCUACAAUGGACUCCUACAAUGGACUCACCUAUUACUCCCACUCCCCCAACGGAGGAUUUCAAAGAGAUAACCCCCCUUCCAUCAAUGGACGUUCUCAAUAUUCCAAUCCCCAAAAAGGACAUCUCCAAAAAGAUCUCCAUACAGUGGGCUCUUCUGGUCAUUCCACGGAUAAAUAAAUGCCUUCACGGACAACCUCUUACCAUGGAGUGUUCCAUCUCAUUUAUCAAAUGAAGACAGGCAUUCCAGAAGACCUCGUCCUAAAAAAUGGACUCUCAUCUCCAUUCCAUAAAUGUAGAACCACUCAAUCUGACCCCCUUCCAUUCGCCAACCAUGUCUGAGACAACAGGCAUCUUGAUAUGCAUAGAUCCCCCUUCUACACUAAAUUCUACCAUUACCCCUACCCCAUGAAUGGGUGUUUCCAAAAAGACUCCUACCUCCAAAAGAUUUGCUCAUCUACCCUUGUAGAAAAAUGGGUCUUUCCAGUCUUACCACCUUCUGAAGGUAGACUCUCCUGUUCUUCAUUCCUGUCUGAAGGAAUGGGAUGACCCAAAAUAAAAGCCCCCUUUCUACAAUGGGCUCUCCUGCUCCCUAACCCAGGAAGGGAUGCUUUCUUGGCACCUACAGUGAACUUUCACUUCACAGCCACUCCAUGAAUCGGCA